UACGGGGGGGAGCAAGCGUUGUUCGGAAUUACUGGGCGUAAAGAGUGCGUAGGCGGUUCUCCAAGUCCGUUGUGAAAGCCCCGGGCUCAACCUGGGAAUGGCAGUGGAAACUAGGGGACUUGAAUCUGGCAGAGGGGGGUGGAAUUCCACGUGUAGCAGUGAAAUGCGUAGAGAUGUGGAGGAACACCGAUGGCGAAGGCAGCCCCCCUGGGCUGAGAUUGACGCUCAGGCACGAAAGCGUGGGGAGCAAACAGG
rnacentral:rRNA from 1 species